UGCUGAUUCAAAUGGGCACAUGCCCCCAAUGUUUAUAUCAGUGCUGUCAACAAUAGCCAAAUUAUGAAAAGAGCCCAAAUGGCCAUUGACUGAUGGAUGGAUGAAGAAGAUACACACACACACACA